rnacentral:sRNA from 1 species
GCUUAGCCCCGAUAGCAGUGAAAAUCCUUUUGUGCCGGGGUUCGGCACAAAAGAUUGUAACGAAUAGCGGGACUGAAG